AAGGGGGAUUGGGAAAGAUGAGGAAGGAGAGCAUUCCAAGCAUGGGGGACGGAGAGCCAGAGAAAAAGCUAGAUCUCAUCAGCCCUAAGACUCACACCUCCUCAGCGUCCCUGGCUCCUGGGGGCCCUCCUUCCCUCUGAUUAGAGAGGGUGGACGUUGGGGAGCCUCUCUCAGAUCCCCCCAUUUAAAGAAGGGGCCCGGGGCAGCCGCCUCAUCAUUGCCCACCUGGCUGGCCUCCCUUGGGCAUCGCCAUCGUCUCCAGAAACUCAUCUUCAGGCUAGAUGAAAUUACUCUGAAACUCACACUUCCUCCCAGUACCUCCUGCCCUUGCGCGCCGCCCCCCCAAUGGAGAAGGUAGAAGACGGACAGUGGGGAGCUCCUCCCAGAUCUUCCAUUUAAGGAAGGGGCCCGGGGCAGCCGCCUCUUCAUUGCCCACCCACUGACAAACCAUUUAAAUGAAGAAUAUCUAUGGCCCAGAUUUCAACAUGUAUCUCUAUGGACACCCUCUAGAGCUUGUCCUGCAGUAUGCGUAUCUGGGACACGAGUACUGAAGGAAAAAGAGCUGAGCCCAGGCUUGACAAGGAGGAGAGUGGGCUGGGUUGUUUUGGGGAAAUUGCAAAGCACUUUUCCUGGCCCCAAACUUCCCAUAGCAACAAGGGGCCAUCUUUACGAAACACGUGAUUUACUGGAAUUGCCAUAUGGCCGAAGAAUAACAGGAAUACGACUCUCUGAAGAACUAAAGGUGAAUCACUCAGAAGCAACUGAAGGUUCGUGGUGGUUGAAAGGUCUAUGGGAUUUUGUCUUAUCCAUAAACAUGUGAGUGUUCCAUGUACUGAUGAAUCAUUGAAGUCCGGUG